GAUGUCAAGACGGUCGCCACACAGCACCCAAAGACA
rnacentral:tRNA from 1 species